AUGUUCUUAUGGAACCUCCACGUCCAAUGGCAGUCUAUCAACAUUCCUAGAUUCUUAGAUGUAUUAGGGCAGUGUUUCCCAACCGGUGUUCCGCGGCACACUAGUGUGCCGCCAGACGUUGCCUGGUGUGCCGUGGGAGGGAGGCGGGCGAGUCGGGCGGCGAGAGGCGGGGCGGCGGCGGCGAGGAGAGGCCGCCCAGCGCGGGGCUCUCGCCGUCUGCCUGCCUGCCUGACGCGCAAACCCCCGGCGCAGGCGCCCCGCUUGUUGACACGGGAGGGGAGGGGGAGAGGAAACGCUGCUGGUGCCGCUGCUCCUCGGCGGCGGCUCCUCCUCUCAGCCCGCCCUGCCUAUAUUUGCGCCAAUCCCCGCCCACUAAAGCAUUCGCGCCUCCCAAUGGGAAGCCUUGCCGGGCGGCGGGCGCUGCUGCCUGAGAGUUCUGAAGCCACGCCCACUUUCCCAGAGACUGAGGGAUCCAGGGCAGGGCCGGCGCGCGCGCGCGCUUCUUGCUGCCCGGGCGCUUGCUCUAAUCACGCCUUCCCUGGGAGGGAGGGACGGCGGUGGCCGCGAGCGUCCGGGGUGGGGCGCGCGCUGGCUCUCCCUGGCGGCUGUUUUGGAGCUGUUGCUGCAGGACGAAGUGGCAGCCAGCGCUGUCGUGCGGUGGCUGAAGGCGAGCCAGAGCCCCUGCGCCAUGGAGGUAAAACGCGCAGCGCCGCCCUUGCUUCACCCAGCCCUCGGUUCGAGCGGGAAGUAUCCGGGAAAACGGAGUUGAUGCCGGCCUUCAAAACUCUGCGCUCCAAAAGGGAGGCGGGAGGGGGGAAAAACAGGUCGACCACUUGAGGUUUCCUCCUCUGGCGGGAUGCUAAGUGGGAAGCUGCAGCCUUCAGGCCUGCGCUAUGUGAACUCCUGAAGGGCUCUUGCAGUAGCUUUUCGGGAGCCCAGGUGUAUAUAUGUGCCCCCUGAGGGAGCCCUUCACUGAACCUGAGAACCCUGCUGUGGAGUUGGUGGGACUGAGUUGCUGUGCGCCCUUACGAAUGCUUCCCAAAUGCAGCUUUAAUGAUUCAGAAACAAGACCUACAGAAUUCGUUGGAAGUUACUAUUUUUUAAUUUAUUUUUUACAUAAGUAAAAAGUGACCUUUUCCCAUCUGGCAUGGUGGUGUGCCUCGAGAUUUUUUUUCAUGAAACAAGUGUGCCUUUGCCCAAAAAAGGUUGGGAAACACUGUAUUAGGGCACUGGAUGCUGGUCCAGAUGGGUCCUUGGCGUGAUCCAACGGCCUUUUCUUAUCUUCUUAUCUUAUCUUAAGCUCCCACUAUACGUUUUCUCUGUUCCUGCAGAGCUGCCUUCAUAAUUUAAUAAGCCUCCGCCGUGUGCUCCCUGCCUGCCCCGAUCAAUGCCUCCUUCUCUUGGAAGGAGCAAGGAGACCCUGUUCCAAUUAGUUUAUUUAAGAGCCGGGCUAUUAUCAGGACCGAUCGCAGCAGCUGCUUGUCUCUGAUACGCUCUGCUCUCUCUCGGCUGCUGAAAUCUGCUUUUUUUGUGGGGCAUCUGUUUUAUUUAUGCUUAUUCCUCUUCUAAUGUUUAGCGUCCUAUUGUUUUCCCCCAGCUGUCUCUCUAAGUCACCUUGAAGACUUUUGCACGCUGUCAGGAAUAAGGGGAGCAGGCUCCACAACUUGGCCAGGAGGAAAGCGCCUUUGGGAGAGUCAACGUGGAAAGCUAGGGAGAUCCUUCGUGCUGAAUCAGAACACUGGUCCAUAAAGCCCAAUACUGGCAACACAGACUGGCAGAAGAUGUCCAGGAUUUCAGGAAGGAGCCUGUGCUGGUCCCAUGGUUUUCCGUGAGGUGUGGGUCUGAGUCCCAGUCUGAGGUCGAGGGUGCAAUAUUGAGGCCGUCCAUCAAAGCUGAAGCUGGGUCCAAGGCAGGGAGUUGGGCGAGGUCAGGAGAUCCGGCAGGACAGGGUUCAGGCAGGAACUGGCUACCAACAAUGUUGCUCCCGCAACUUGGGACUGGGGCUGGCUGGCUUUUAUCUGCCCCGUGGCAUAGGGCGGCCCCGAUCCUCAGGUGACUCACCUCUCCUGGCCUGGAGGCAAGCACUCCUCCUGCAGGAACUUAGUUCCCUCUGCCUCUCUGCCCUGAGCCUCUGCAGCUCAGGAGAGGCUGGAGGGUUACUGGACCCAGAGGCAACCUCACAUUCCCCUGACAGGGCUGAGAGUGGAGCACCUGCAGGCAGUGGGUCCUCCAUCACCUCAGGAGCCAGAGUAGACUCAGCUGAUGCCUGCACCUGAGGAUCCAGCACAGGUGAGGACCCUUCAGGCUCAAGUCCCAACCCUGGCUCAGCUGGUUCUGGAGGCGGAGAAUCCUGUGCAGGCUGGGAUUCCUCAGGUUCAGCCUCCGAGUCCGAAUCCCAGGCCAUCACAGAGCCUCUGCCAUCAUUACCUGGAGAUUCCAGCAGGAAUUAAACUUGGAACCUUCCUGCUUGCAAGACAGAUUCUCUGCCACUGAGCCACCAGUGCCCUGUGUGUGAUUGUGCGCGUGUGUUCAGCAAUUUUUCCAGAAGCCGCGAUCAAAUUCCGUGCCUAAAUCCAGCACCGUGAUGAAGCUUGAUACGGUGACCUGCAUUAAAAUCGUGCAAAUCAAGGCCCUGAUUGCCUUUGCAUGAAUUAUCCUUCCUUUUCUUCUCGGCUUCUUUGCAUAAUUCAUUCUGCCUCUGAAGCGCUAGGAGAAGGAGAACCGCAGUCUCCUGACCCCCAACCACGAAGCUUACAUAAACAGCUCCUCCUCAGGGCUUCCGAGAUUCAAAGCCUGCUUCUGCAAACCUAAGGACUAGAAGCUUUGUGUUUUCUUUUUUUUAAGGGACAGAGAUGCUUCGGAAACCGAACUGCUGCGUUUGCCCCUCAAAUCUUGGCAUAUGCCAACAGCAUAAGAACAUGGGUAGAACCUGUAUGCUGGAUGAGGCCAAUGGCCCAUUUCGUCCAGCAUCCUGUUCUCACAAUUGCCAAAUACCCUUAAGAACCAAGAGAUCCAGAUAGACUGCCUCAAUGCCUGGAGGCUCCAUAAGAACCUAAGAAGAGUCUGGUUGCUAGCUCAGGCCAAGGGCCCACCUAGUCCAAUAUCCAUAGCUGUCAACUUACAGAUUUGAAAAUAAGGGACCAGCAGCCUCGAAAAUAAGGGAUCAGCAACCAAAAUAAGGGAUUUUAGUCAACCAGCAGCCAAACGAAGCCUCAAGCGGUGGUUCCCCCAGCUCAGCGACCCGGCAAAGGGGAUGCAGCAAGGGAAACCACCGUCCCCUCUCCGCUGGGAAGCGCUGAGCAAAGGCGAGUCCGCAGGCAAGGCGGCCGAUUUGAUCAGCACAAGGCAUGCAAGCUCCACCCCCCAGUCGUUCUUAGACUCCUUAUUGGGUGAGCAACGCAGCCAAGCAACACAGCUGGAGCCUCCCUCCUCUAUGGCCGGCAGGGAGGGAGGGAGAGGAGCUGCUUCCUUUGAAACCCGGGAAAUUUAAGGGACAUCAUCAAUAAGGGACAGCAGCGGGACACAGCGGUGGGAUAAGGGACUUUCCCACCAAAUAAGGGACGGUUGACAGAUUUGCCAAUAUCCUUUUCCAGGGGCAGAGUUGGUUAGAGCAUGGUGCUGAUAACACCAGGUUGCAGGUUCAAUCCCUGCAUGUGUGGGAUGCAAUAUCACCAAAGCAGUCAAAUACAACAUUUCCUGUUUGCCCAGGAUGGACACGCAGGGGAAUGUCGCUCCAGCCAGAAGGGCUUCCUGCCACACCUGGUUGGGAGCAUCCUUCCUUCUGCAUGUAACUCGCUCUACGUGGGGCUGCCCUUGAGACUGACCCAGAAACUCCAGCGGGUGCAAAAUACAGUGGCGAGACUCCUUACGGGUUCCUCGCUGGGGGGGCACAUUCACCCGGUGCUAUACCAGCUGCACUGACUCCCGGUGGAGUACAGGAUCAGGUUUAAGGUGCUGGUUUUAACCAUUAAAGCCCUAUACAGCCUAGGACCCUCGUACCUACGGGACCGCCUCUCCUGGUAUGCCCCGCGGAGGACCUUAAGGUCUGCAAAUAAUAACACGCUGAAGAUCCCAGGCCCCAGAGAGAUUAGACUGGCCUCGACCAGAGCCAAGGCCUUUUUGGCCGUGGCCCUGGUCUGGUGGAACGCUCUCUCACAAGAGACCAGGGCCCUGCGGGAUUUGACAUCUUUCCGCAGGGCCUGCAAGACGGAGCUGUUCCGCCAGGCCUUUGGUCGGGGUUCAGUCUGAUUCUUUUCUUUCUGUAUAAGAACAAGCAUGAAAGAGGCCUCCUAGUCUGCUCACAGGUCCUUUAUAAGACCAGAGGUAACAGUUGGCCCUGGAGAAUAUUAACCACUCUCAAUUUUACCCAUGGACGGCCAUCUGUCCAGAUUUUAAUUUGCUCUGAACUAAUUUUAAGACGUAUUUUAAUGAAUUGAUUGCCUGUUUUAUGUUCUUAUGUUCUUUGAAUACUGUGUUAGUUUUAUGAUGUUAGCUGCCCUGAGCCCGGCUGGGGUACAAAUAAAAAAUUAUUUAUUAUUUACUUAUGGCCUCAUCUUCACAAGAAGAUGAACCUUUCUCUGUAACUGUAACUACAAGCUCAAGCCUGCCUUCAGGACCAUACUGUGAAGUGAAUGUAAGCAACCUUAUCAUUACUUUCUAAAAGAAGACUUUGGUGUCGUUAUUAUUUUUAAGAGGGAACAAAAGGGGAUUUGCCAGGGACAAUCUAAUCUGGACAAGCCAGACUGGAUUGCUUAACUCAAACGGUUCUAACGAAUCCAUCAACUAGCUUCCUGCAAUAUACAGGGGAAUGCACUCUGCUACCAGCUCACUAGCGUGAGUGAGGAAGGAUAAUAUUCAAUCAAUAUAUCCGCUCCUACUAUCCUCAACUUUCCCACAGUAUGGGGCAGCUGCAUAUUCCUGCAUUGCGGGGGGUUGGACUAGAUGAUCCUCAGGGUCCCUUCCUGUGGGAAUGUUCAGGGAUGCAGGAGAGGAUAUAUUGUCUGAUUAUAGCCUUUCCAACUUGGGUAAACAAGUUCACAAUUUUAGCAGAGUAACAUUCCCCUUUUUAAACUCACAGCGGAUGCGUUUGCUCAGGCUCGCUAAAGCCUCUGUAAUAACUGUUCUGGUAUUUCCCCCUUAUUCCCUCAUAAAAGAUAAGACAUGACAGUCUUCUAUAAAAGUAUAAAAGGAGUUUACUCACUCACAUUCUGUUCACAAUUGAAUCCCAGAAGGCAGGCUUAGCUUAGAAAAGUAACCUACACCAGGAAGCUAUCUCAUAAGGAGACAGUCCCUUUGUCCUCUCUGGGCUGGAGGCCAAGAGAGCAUCUUUGGCUAAGCAGAUGUUGCUUCUUCGAUGCAUGUAGUCAAAGAGAGAGAGAUGGCUGCCCUGCCCUGUGCUUUUGUCAUUACCUGCACAGGUGAGGCAACGCCCAACCCUAGUCCCAUGCAGAGGAAGUCUGUCCCAGCCCAGAAGGAAACAGGAAGCUUACCUGCUGGCUGGACAAACAUUCCUCCCCAUGUGCAAACAUGUUCCCUCUGGGAAGGUUGUACUUGACUGCUCUUGUGUUUCACACCCCACACUUCCAACUCUAC
rnacentral:lncRNA from 1 species